rnacentral:rRNA from 1 species
CUUCUCUGCGGAAUAGCCACUGGAAACGGUGAGUAAUACCGCAUACGCCCUUCGGGGGAAAGAUUUAUCGGAGAAGGAUCGGCCCGCGUUAGAUUAGAUAGUUGGUGGGGUAACGGCCUACCAAGUCUACGAUCUAUAGCUGGUUUUAGAGGAUGAUCAGCAACACUGGGACUGAGACACGGCCCAGACUCCUACGGGAGGCAGCAGUGGGGAAUCUUAGACAAUGGGCGCAAGCCUGAUCUAGCCAUGCCGCGUGUGUGAUGAAGGUCUUAGGAUCGUAAAGCACUUUCGCCAGGGAUGAUAAUGACAGUACCUGGUAAAGAAACCCCGGCUAACUCCGUGCCAGCAGCCGCGGUAAUACGGAGGGGGUUAGCGUUGUUCGGAAUUACUGGGCGUAAAGCGCGCGUAGGCGGAUUGGAAAGUUGGGGGUGAAAUCCCGGGGCUCAACCCCGGAACUGCCUCCAAAACUAUCAGUCUAGAGUUCGAGAGAGGUGAGUGGAAUUCCAAGUGUAGAGGUGAAAUUCGUAGAUAUUUGGAGGAACACCAGUGGCGAAGGCGGCUCACUGGCUCGAUACUGACGCUGAGGUGCGAAAAGUGUGGGGAGCAAACAGGAUUAGAUACCCUGGUAGUCCCACACCGUAAACGAUGAAUGCCAGUCGUCGGGCAGUAUACUG